UACGGAGGGGGCUAGCGUUGUUCGGAAUUACUGGGCGUAAAGCGCGCGUAGGCGGCUUUGCAAGUUGGGGGUGGAAUCCCGGGGCUCAACCUCGGAAUUGCCUUCAAGACUGCUUGGCUUGAGUUCGGGAGAGGUGAGUGGAAUUCCCAGUGUAGAGGUGAAAUUCGUAGAGAUUGGGAAGAACACCAGUGGCGAAGGCGGCUCACUGGCCCGCAACUGACGCUGAGGCGCGAAAGCGUGGGGAGCAAACAGG
rnacentral:rRNA from 1 species